UAACACAUGCAAGUCGAGCGGGCGUAGCAAUACGUCAGCGGCAGACGGGUGAGUAACGCGUGGGAACGUACCUUUUGGUUCGGAACAACACAGGGAAACUUGUGCUAAUACCGGAUAAGCCCUUACGGGGAAAGAUUUAUCGCCGAAAGAUCGGCCCGCGUCUGAUUAGCUAGUUGGUGAGGUAAUGGCUCACCAAGGCGACGAUCAGUAGCUGGUCUGAGAGGAUGAUCAGCCACAUUGGGACUGAGACACGGCCCAAACUCCUACGGGAGGCAGCAGUGGGGAAUAUUGGACAAUGGGCGCAAGCCUGAUCCAGCCAUGCCGCGUGAGUGAUGAAGGCCCUAGGGUUGUAAAGCUCUUUUGUGCGGGAAGAUAAUGACGGUACCGCAAGAAUAAGCCCCGGCUAACUUCGUGCCAGCAGCCGCGGUAAUACGAAGGGGGCUAGCGUUGCUCGGAAUCACUGGGCGUAAAGGGUGCGUAGGCGGGUCUUUAAGUCAGGGGUGAAAUCCUGGAGCUCAACUCCAGAACUGCCUUUGAUACUGAAGAUCUUGAGUUCGGGAGAGGUGAGUGGAACUGCGAGUGUAGAGGUGAAAUUCGUAGAUAUUCGCAAGAACACCAGUGGCGAAGGCGGCUCACU
rnacentral:rRNA from 1 species